rnacentral:tRNA from 1 species
ACCUGGUCAACUCAACUGGUAGAGCAAGUGGCUCUUGAUCUCAGGGCUGUGGGUUCGAGCCCCACAUUGGGUA